UGUUUUCUCUAUCCCAUCUUUCCUAGGCCCUUCAGUCUUUAUUCCCUCGUUUGCCUGAAUCAGGUCGAGGGCCCUCUCUUUUUGAGCGCAGUGCAGGGGCCCCAGGGCCUGAUGGGGACAAGCUGAGACUGGACACUUUUCCUUUCCUCGGCUCAGGGGCUCCUUGUUACUCCAAACCUCCAUCCCUGUUGGGUCCUUACCCACGGAACCCCUCUUUUGACUACCCCUGGGGCUUCAACCCCUACCUCCCAGGGGCCUUUUCUCUGAACAACUGUCCCAAAUUGCCCCCAGGCUCCCUCUACUCCUCACAUUUCUAUCCCAACCCGCUCCAAUCCAGCCUGUCUCAGCUGUCACACCCCUUCUCUUCGCUCUUACCCCCCGGAGACACAACCGGGGCAGAACGUGGUCAAACGGGAGGAACGAAUGGCUCUGCGGGCGGUCAGCCUCCCAGACUCUGCAUCCCACCAUACCCAGGGAGCUUGCCACUGGGUCGGAUUGAGCUGGGGAACGGGGGUACGGGUUUGGGCGACCGGGAAAGAGGGGAGGCCAACACUGCUGUAACAGGUGGAGGUCUUGGUUUGGGGUUAGGCCUUGGAUUGGGUUUGGGUGGAGUUGGUGUGGGAAGCGGAGGAGGAGGCCGUCAAAGCCCUUCCGAGCGGAGGAAGGGUGUGAAGCAGGAUCCGGAGUCUGAUUCUGACCUGGAGAUCACAGACCUGAGCGACUGCAGCUCGGAGAACGAGAACGAGCCGGACUUCUCUCUGGGGAAGGAACCAGGUUUGGGUGGUCGCUCACACCUUCUAGAGGCCAAAUCUGGGGGUCUCAGGGGAGUCUUGCCCCCUCUUUCUUCUCUUCCUUCACCUGUGUCUCCGCAUCCCCUUAAAAGUCUGGCACCCCUGACUCCUCCACCAUCAUCCCUGCCUCCAUCCCUCUCUCCCUCCCUCACUAUAGCUGACAGGCACAGGGAAAAAGAGACACUUAAACUUGCUCACAGUUAAUAUGUUCUGUUGUGCGAUUUUUGAUGUCUUGCAGGUUCUCUCUUUCUCUUUUUCUGUCUGUGUAUUCCUGCAUUUGUGAAAUGAUGCUGUAUAUUCCCAUUUCAUUUUUUCCUUCCUCUUUUCCGGAGUCCUCCGAAGCCAUUCUUCGCUCAUGCUGUUCCAGUAUCAGAACUUUCAGUUUCUGCUUUCGUCAAUUUCUAAAUUGCACAGUAAGACUCUCAAUGCAAUUAGAGUUUUUGUUAUUCUGAGAGUAAAAGUGCAGCAC
rnacentral:lncRNA from 1 species